rnacentral:lncRNA from 1 species
AUGAUUCAGUCUCUCACAAAAAAGAAUAAUUUUUCCAAAUCAAUUUGCACGUCAAAUCCGGAAAGCAAUCUCGAUUCCGACACGUAUACAACUUCUAUUCCUUCCCUAUAAAUAAAGAGAUACAGAGACUCUCCAAAUAAGUUCUCCACUUCUACUCUUUCCUUCUCAUUGUUCUCCAUCUGGUGACUUGAACGUCGGAGGAUGAGGAU